AUUGAACGCUGGCGGAAUGCUUUACACAUGCAAGUCGAGCGGCAGCGCGGGGGCAACCCUGGCGGCGAGCGGCGAACGGGUGAGUAACAUAUCGGAACGUACCCCGUCGUGGGGGAUAACACAGCGAAAGCUGUGCUAAUACCGCAUACGACCUGAGGGUGAAAGCGGGGGACCGUAAGGCCUCGCGCGAUGGGAGCGGCCGAUAUCGGAUUAGCUUGUUGGUGAGGUAAAGGCUCACCAAGGCGACGAUCCGUAGCUGGUCUGAGAGGACGACCAGCCACACUGGAACUGAGACACGGUCCAGACUCCUACGGGAGGCAGCAGUGGGGAAUUUUGGACAAUGGGGGGCAACCCUGAUCCAGCCAUUCCGCGUGAGUGAAGAAGGCCUUCGGGUUGUUAAAGACUCUUCUAGCAGGAACG
rnacentral:rRNA from 1 species